CCUACGGGGGGCAGCAGUGAGGAAUAUUGGUCAAUGGGCGGAAGCCUGAACCAGCCAAGUCGCGUGAGGGAAUAAGGCCCUACGGGUCGUAAACCCCUUUUGCCGGGGAGCAAGGGCGGGGACGUGUCCCGGCACGGAGAGUACCCGGAGAAAAAGCAUCGGCAAACUCCGUGCCAGCAGCCGCGGUAAUACGGAGGAUCAGAGGGUUAGCCGGAUUUAUUGGGUUAAAAGGAUGCGUAGGCGGGCUUUUAAGUCAGCGGUAAAAAUUCGGGGCUCAAUCCCGUACGGCCGUUGAAACUGGUGGUCUUGAGUGGGCGAGAGGAAGGCGGAAUGCGUGGUGUAGCGGUGAAAUGCAUAGAUAUCACGCAGAACCCCGAUUGCGAAGGCAGCCUUCCGGCGCCCUACUGACGCUGAGGCACGAAAGUGCGGGGAUCGAACAGGAUUAGAUACCCUUGUAGUC
rnacentral:rRNA from 1 species